GUUAUGCUCAGUUCCAAUCCAGUUAAACAGGUAUAUAAUUCUCUUUUGUCUUUCUUCAGACAAUGAAAAUCCGCAAUCUAAGACCUGAAACUACUGCCACAGCCAUGCAUAAAAUGAAAUGCUGCUGCUUUCCUCUCUGUUAAAGAGAAUGUUCAAGGCCGAGGACACAUAAAAAAGAGCAGCAUUGCUGGCUCUGUUAUUUAGCUGUGUGUUCUUGAAAAAGUCACUUCUCCAGACAUAUCUCAGCAUUUAUAACCUAAGACUGAAUCACUGCAUUUUACCCUUAAUGAGGUACGCUUACACUAAUCUUUUUGAAACAGUACUUAAAUUGUAGCAGGACAAGCCGCAGACAAAACCCCUCAGCCAGCGAGUUUAAGAAAGAAGGGCUUUAUUCGGCCGGGAUCUUCGGCAAGACUCACGUCUCCAACAACCAAGCUCCCCAAGUGAGUAAUUCCUGUCCCUUUUAAGGGCUUACAACUCUAAGGAGGUCCGUGUGAGAGGGUCGUGAUUGACUGAGCAAGCGGGGGUACAUGACUGGGGGGCUGCAUGCACCGGUAAUUAGAACGGAACAGAACAGGACAGGGAUUUUCACAGUGCUUUUCUAUACAAUGUCUCUAAUCUACAGAUAACAUAACCGAUUAGGUCAGGGGUCGAUCUUUACCAGGCCCAGAGUGUGGUGCCGAGCUGUCUGCUUGUGGAUUUCAUUUCUGCCUUUUAGUUUUUACUUCUUCUUUGGAGGCAGAAAUUGGGCAUAAGACAAUAUGAGGGGUGGUCUCCCUCCCUUAAAAUCCUAAUGCUCUCCUCCAAAAAUGUAUAUCCACAUAUUUGCAUAUAAUUUCAUGGGAUUCAAAACCCCUGAAAUUUAUCCAGGAACCCCCAGAUUAGUAACACCUGGACUAGAUGUUGUCUAAGUCCUCUGAGCUCUGUAAUUGGUUCCACUGAUUUCUAAGUUUUGGGGUUUUUUUUUCUUUUUAAAGUAAAACCACUUUGAGUUAUGUUCAUGGUGCUUACACCAUGGUUUCCAUUCUAGAACCAACUAUAUUCUAAAAUUCCUGGUUGGAACAAAAGUUACUUAAGCAAGUAAAAGUGUGACAGUCUGGUAACAGAUUCUAAAUAAUCACCUUUUUAUGGUGAUAAGCUAAAAUUUAUUUUAAAAAGUGUAUUAAACAAGUAUUAAUACUUCUCAAACAGCAGUUGAGAUGUCCCUGGGGUAAGGAGACAGGGCACCAGGGACAUUCCAGAAGUAACAGAAUAUACAAAGCAUGAUUUUGAAAGUUUUAGCGGUUUUUAAUUUGUGGAUGAGGGUGUAACACUUUUGCAUUAAAAUAAACAGAUAUGUUGUGGAGUAAAAUGCAUAAAGGCACAUUUUUAAAGAUAAAAUGUGAAACUUACAAUGUCCUGCUUACUAAUACCUUGUCUCACGUCCAGAGGACACUUACUUCACACUCCUCUAAUCUUAGUGGUUCUCUGGUGGAAACUUACACAUUACAAAAAAAGUAAUCUAUUCUAAAUCCUAAAAUAAUUUGAUUUUUUGUAACACAAUGAAGAUAACUAGCACAAAGUAAAGAAAGAAUGACUUUUUUUUUGAGACAGUCUCACUCUUGCCCACGCUGGAGUGCAGUGGCGGGAUCUCGGCUCACUGCAAUCUCCACCUCCCUAAUUCAAGCGAUUCUCCCGCCUCACCCUCCCGAGUAGCUGGGACUAUAGGCGCCCACCACCACACCCAGCUAAUUUUUGUAUUUUUAGUAGAGACGGGGUUUCACCAUGUUGGCCAGGAUGGUCUCGAUCUCUUGAUCUCGUCAAAGUGCUGGGAUUACAGGCAUGCGUGAGCCACUGCGUCUGGCCAUUUUAUUUUAUUUUUUGAGACAGAGUCCUGACCUCAAGCAAUCCGCCUGCCUAGGCCUCGCAAAGUGCUGGGAUUACAGGAGUGAGCCACCGUGCCCAGCCAAGAAAGAUUUUGGAAGAGUGAAUGAAUACAAGGAUUUCCACUAGACUGAGAAUUAGUUUGUCAACAGCAUUUCAGUGUCUUGAGAAGUGUUUACAUUUGGCGUGGACAAAGCUGGCAGAUGACGUAGAAAGUAAAAAGUUGCCUCUUCAAAGUUUCCCUUCUUGUUAAAGAAUAAAUCAUAAAUGUUAGAAACAAUAGUUUCUUUUAAAGACUAACUUACUUCAAGCCUCCUUGCUUUGUGCUAAUAACUCUGUUAAGCCCUAUUGUAUGUAACUGCGGGACAUGCUCACAGGCCCAGGCACGUUCCAGCUCACAGCCUGUUUAGCAAAUCGGGUAUCAGUUUAAGAUUAUGAGGUCCAGCCCCAGCCAACGGAUGCAGGACACAGCAGUAAGGACAACCCAAAGGCGUAAGGGACAAAUAUGUCUGCUUUUCCUUUGUUCAGGAGUGCUCUCACCAUCGUUCCAUCUGCAAUUGAGCACCCUUUCUGCAUAAAGUAAAAAUUGCCUUGCUGAGAGAUCUUUUGUCUCCAUGCUGACUUUUCUUCGUGUCACCAAUUAUCUAUUUCUAACAAUAACAAGGUCUUUUCUGCACUGCAGUGACAACCAAAGCAUCCCAAAUGAAAUCAUUUCUGCAAGACCCAAACUAGCCUCUAUUAACACGUACUAACAAUUCAGAACACCAGAGAAGAAAAGUUAUUGGAAACAAAAGGGUCUAAGCGCUGAAGCACUGUAUCGCACUUGAAAUGGAGGCUGAAGAUUUGAGAAGGAUGGACUAUGCAUCUUGUUUACCAAAUGACCUACUACGGUGUUUAUGAGAACUAUACGAACCAAGAUUUACUCUGUUGGGAGCUUGUAGGAAAGCUGUAAUGUCUAAGACAUACCUGAAUCUCUAAACCUUAUUAAAUAAAACUUUUUUUUUCUUUGAAAGGGGGCCUGGCUCGUCCCCCAGACUGGAAUGCAGUGGAGCGAUCUCGGCUCACUGCAGCCUCGACCUCCUGGGCUCAAGCAAUCCUCCCACCUCAGCCUUCCGAGUUGCUGAGGCCACAGGCGGGCGUCGCCAUGCUGGGCUAAUUUAUAACAUUUUUGUAGAGACGGCAUCAAAAUAUGUUGCUCAGGCUCACUUUGUUUUCCCAACUCUCAAAUGAAGGCUCUGGCCGGGCGCUGUGGCUCACGCCUGCAAUCCCAGCAACUUUGGGAGGUCGAGGCAAGCGGAUCACCUGCGGUCGGGAGUUCAAAACCAGCCUAGCCAACAUGGAGAAACCCUGUCUCUACUAAAAAAUACAAAAUUAGCCAGGCGUGGUGGCGUAUGCCUGUAAUCCCAGCUACUCGGGAGGCUGAGGCAGGAGAAUUGCUUGAACCCGGGAGGCAGAGGUUGCGGUGAGCCGAAAUCGCGCCACCGGACUCCAGCCUGGGCAAAAAGAGCGAAA
rnacentral:lncRNA from 1 species